rnacentral:misc_RNA from 1 species
CAGAGUUGCAAGACUCCCAACCCUUUGCGAACGAACUAGACAGUUGCCUCGGCGGGAGAGCUCCCCAGGAGCAUCCCGCCGGAGGACCACUAAACUCUUGAAUUUUUGGCCUCUCUGAGUAACUUUACAAUGAGUUA